AACGUAGGAGGCAAACGUUAUCCGGAUUUACUGGGCGUAAAGCGCGUGUAGGUGGUUUGGUAAGUAGGGCGUGAAAGCUCCUGGCUCAACUGGGAGAGGUCGUUCUAAACUGCCGAGCUAGAGGAUGGUAGAGGGAGGUGGAAUUCCGGGUGUAGCGGUGGAAUGCGCAGAUAUCCGGAGGAACACCAGUGGCGAAAGCGGCCUCCUGGACCACUCCUGACACUCAGACGCGAAAGCUAGGGUAGCAAACGGGAUUAGAUACCCGCGUAGUCCCUGAGCGGG
rnacentral:rRNA from 1 species